AGGCAUUCAUAAAUACAAUUGAUAUGAAUCAGGGAUAUGCCAGCCGCCCAGUUAAUCAUCUUCUGUUUCAUGUCAACUCACUAUACUCUAUCCUCAACUAGUUCCAUCUAUCUAUGGCCAGAACUACUGGAAUGAAAAAGAGCCAAUCUGAGCGCUGACUGUGUUUGUAAGGUAUCUGCCAAGAAAAUAUUUCUUUAUGAGUUCUGCAGUAAUCCAUUUCCUUAUAUUUUGGUGUUUUUCCUUAAAGCUAAAAGAAGAAAAUACUGAACAGAAACUAGAUGCCAUGUUUCAAGCAGGAAAUGAAGCCCUAGAGCAGUUACCAAACUGCUGGGAACACACAGUGAAAGAGAAAGGGGCCAGGAUGUUUCUAAAGAGAAAAUGUUAGAUGUAGAAGCCUGCCAGCAAGGACGCUUGCAAUGAACUGUUUGUUCUUUUUGGAGUAGCAAAACAGCAGAAACACACACACACACACACACAAACUUUGACUAUCAUCUGUUGUUUUCUCACUUUCCCUAGACCCACACACUGAUGGUGAAAUAGCAGCAA